CGUCAGUCCAGCACCCAGAGGAAAGACUGAAAAGUGCUCCUCUCUUUGAGUCCAUAUCACAACUGCAGCUGGAGCAGCAGAUACCUGCUCAGCAUCUCAUCAUCACCCCUGAUCCUCAGCAGUGACCUUCACUCAGGCCUCUAAUCCUGCAGGUCUGAUGGGUCCAGAAUGAGGAUGAGGAUGAGGAGAGCUCACUGUUCACCAGAGACUCAGCUGAUCUGAACUGAAAGCUUCUCACAGCCAAUGAAUACGUCUAUAACUCUGUGACAUCAUCAGAUCUGGAUCAAUGGACCUGAUGCUGCUUUUGAACCUGUUUAAAGCUCCUGUGUCUCCUUGAACUGAUCUCAUCUUCACUCCUUCAGUGUAACAUGCCUCUGUUUAGACUCUUCUGGUCACUGUCCUUCAUCUCAGACCUCCACACAUCCCUCCUCUGGUCAGCCUGCAGCCUCCAGCUCUGACAGGACUACAACCAGCCAGACUUUCUGUUUGCCAUGUCUGUAUUUACUUUGUAUCAA